GAGUUUGUGUUAUUCCUAAGCUUAGAAUCUAAAGCUUGAAUCCUACAGAAAACCAUUAAAUUGAUGCUAGAAUCAUUGCUUUUGCUGCUUCCUUUUGAUAGACAAAAUAUAGAUUUAAUUGGGGAUUUCACCAUUAAAUAAAUGAAAGAACGACUAAAAGAACAUGACAACUGAAAAGGUUUAUUCUUUAAACAUUUUAUUUCCAGAACCAUUAGAGAGAUAAAUAGAUAAAUAAAUGAAAGGACCUGAGAGUGGAGAAGGUGUAUUACUCAAACAUAUUGCCAGAAUUAUCUGUCUGCUCAGUGGCAGCAGGGAGGGGACCAGAGGCUGGCACGUUUCCCUCUGUGCUGCUGCAACAGGGCUGGCAGGGCUGGAGCAGCACUGGUUUGGAUGGUGGCUUUCUUAGGGUGCUUGAGUGGUGGGGCCUUAGGUCUGUCUCUGUGCCUUCUUCCUUUGGUGCUCCAUCAGACUCCUGUCUCACCCAGCAGCUGCUCCCUGUGUGGCUGGGCACCUGGUCUGCUCCUCAGGUGGCUCUCGUUCAGGUCCUGCAAGGCAGGGGCAGCCACCUCUCCUCUCCUCAGGGCAACUCCUUGCUGGCAGUGUUCAGGCAGUUGUGGAUCAUCUCUCAUGAAGCAUGGGUGAGCGUAGAAGAGUGAGUGAAAAAUGCAGAGACAAGUUAGUUGCUGUUCAAUUGGGACUGGAAGACAGCAAAAUACAGGAAGUAAGACUUUCAAUUGCUCAAUGAAAUUAAAUUUAAAAUGUCUAUUGGUCAGAUUAAUCCUAUAGCUUAGGCUGAUUAAAACAAGUUAUGUUGCAAACAUACUGAAAUAAACAGACAUCACAUCCUGAUUUAGUUAUCUUUCUAUUCCAUGGGUUCAAACUGGGAUAUAACCCAAAUCUAUUUUAUCCAUAUUUCUACCACUCACCAGUGCUACCUCUAAAAUACCCAGAAACAGCCAGAGAAAGAAAUGGAGAUCAGAACAUUUACUGUCAUCAUCCUCUCCUCUAUUACCAAGGCUUAUUUUCUUGGAACCUCCAACCCUCCCACCAGAAUCUUGUGAGGGUUGGUUUAUGUGUGGAGUAACACACGUACUUUCCUGUGAGCAGGAAUUGUUUCUUCCUUUGCAAGAAAUUCAGCAACUGAAGGAGAUCUUUUGCUGUCAUGGUGUGUUUUGGUGAAUCCAUACAAUUAAGUUGGUGAAUGAGGCUUUUCAUGUUUUCAGUCUGAAAAACUCUCACAGGUCCUUUCCUUCCCGGCUUAAAUAUUUCUUCAUUGAUGACAACAGUUUCCACCAUGACCCCACCAACACAACUUAAAUUGGUCACUUUUAACCGGUUGCAGAAUUUCUGUGGAAGGCUGAGGGCCGAGGAGACGCUGGCUUUGCUCUCCUCAGAAGAAAUGUGAGGGAAACAUGCCGUUUGUUCUUCAUCUGAAAAAUUAGUGAAUCCUUUUCUUCCUUUACCCAUGCUGCAGCAGCAUCCCCGAUUGUUCGUCUUCAUCCUUUUGGGAAGGAUGAGGAGAAGGGAAGCCUGAGGACUAAACCAGCUUUUCUGGCAUUGAAACAGAAGACAUUUCUGAUUCAGGUGGCUAAAUUUUAAUUUUUCUUGUCUCUCUCUGACUGAAGUUCUCACAUGGAGGCAUUUCUGUGAUAAGCCCUGCCAGUCAGUAAGCUAAAUCCAACAGAACUGCUGGGGUGUUUUGUUGGGCAGUUUGUUGGGCUCAAACAUCACCAUGACACCAAUGUGUCAUCACAGUGACAUGGCUGUGUGGCACCCAGGGCCGGCUGGUUGGAGUAGCCAGAGCAGAUGUCACUGACCAGCACUUGCUCUGGUCCUUCACAGAGCCAUGGGUGUUUAAACUUGAGUCCAGACACAAAGAAAAUGUUUUGGCAACUGAGGCCGUGACUCCUGAAACUCAUUUCAAAAGAGCACCUGUCUGCCAGUUAGUGCUUUUGCUACAAGGCAACCUUUACACGAUGGAUAAAUGGUCACGAUAAAAGUCUACAGAAUAAAAU